GGGGACGACAGAUUUCCAGCUUCUACGACGCUCUGCCUAAAUUAAAAAGCAACCAAUCGGAACGGCCGGAAGGGGGGCCGCUCGUCCUGAGCCAGUCAUUCUGGGCCUGCCAAUCACCCAGCGGGUAGCCAAUCAGCGGGGGCCCUGGUGCUCGACUUCCUUGUAUUUGGGAAAGUGUGGUGGUGGGUGCGCGCUCGCGGCGGAGGGUAAACAUUCGACAGUCCCUGCUCAGAGAGGGAGGGACAGAGAGCGAACUGUCAGAUCCCGGCGAGAGCGGGCGGGCGAAGAGAGGGAGAGGGAGUGAGAGAGAGGGAGGGAGAGGGAAAGUGAGAGAGGGAGAGAGAGCGCGAACGAGGGCGCAGAGCGAGCUCCCGCUGCAACUCCGCUCCGGCUCGGCCAGCGCCAGCGCCGUCGGUGCACUCUACGAGCCGUGCAACGUGCCCACUGGAGUUGGUUGUGUAUCAAGGAUCCCCUAUAUGCACACACACACCUCCACCUCCACCAAUGCACUCUUCUUCCUCCUCCUCCUCCAGACAACUGCUGGGAAAAAAAUAAAACACCAACCCCAACCGUCAGCAACAAGAGGCAACCAAGAGCUCCGGCAAUAGCAACUUAAGAGAAAUGCACCAUCGCAAGAAGUUUUCCUAGGACAGAACAAAACUUGAAACGAAAGGACCAGAGGAGGAGAGCAGGAGCCAGCCUCUCCUCUCCGCACACGCGAGCAGCCAGCAUCACCACGCCUUCAAGGACGAAAAAAGUUUUACUACUCUAAAGGAAAACGAGUGAAAUGUGUUCCUGAGGAGGAGAGAAGAGAGCGGGCAAGGGAAGGAGCGGUCCGGUUGCUGGUCAUCCAUAAUUUGGUUAAGGAAGAAAGGAACGGCUGCUUUCUUUAUUGUCUCCCGUGAAAUCUUCACUUAGCAGGUGGACUGAGCCCCGCGCCCGGGCAGAGUCCGCACUCGCCCGAGAACAGCGGGAGGAGCGGGAGCCGGCGCGCCCCGCCAAAGAGACCGGAGCGCAGGCCCGCGCCCCGCCCGGUGAGCCCCGCUGGAGCGAGCGGAAGGCGCCGGGGCUGGGGGGCGGCCACGACCCCCCCUGAAGGGGGCGGCCACGGAGCGCGCCCCGAGAAGCGAGCCCCCCUCCCCAGAGCGCUGCUCCUGCUGCUGCUGCUGCUGCUGCUGACCAA
rnacentral:lncRNA from 1 species